GUUUAAAUCAAAGAUUGACGGACCCGCACAGCGGUGGAUGAUGUGGUUUAAUUCGAUCAACGCGAAAACCUUACCCACCUUUGACAUGUACGGAAGAUCCAGAGAUGGAUUGUGCUCGAAAGAGAACCGUAACACAGGUGCUGCAUGGCUGUCGUCAGCUCGUGUCGUGAGAUGUUGGGUUAAGUCCCGCAACGAGCGCAACCCUUGUCAUUAGUUGCUACAUUUAGUUGGGCACUCUAAUGAGACUGCCGGUGACAAACCGGAGGAAGGUGGGGAUGACGUCAAGUCCUCAUGGCCCUUAUAGGUGGGGCUACACACGUCAUACAAUGGCUGGUACAAAGGGUUGCCAACCCGCGAGGGGGAGCUAAUCCCAUAAAACCAGUCGUAGUCCGGAUCGCAGUCUGCAACUCGACUGCGUGAAGUCGGAAUCGCUAGUAAUCGUGGAUCAGAAUGUCACGGUGAAUACGUUCCCGGGUCUUGUACACACCGCCCGUCACACCAUGGGAGCGGGUUCUGCCAGAAGUAGUUAGCCUAACCGCAAGGAGGGCGAUUACCACGGCAGGGUUCGUGACUGGGGUGAGGUCGUAACAAGGUAACCGUA
rnacentral:rRNA from 1 species